rnacentral:lncRNA from 1 species
CUAUUUUAGCUCCGCACUUUCAUUUUGUCCUCGUGAGGGCAAAAUUUCUUCUCCCUUAAGUAAUAAUUAUUUUUUUCUAAUAUUUCACUCACAUAUAUUUUAGUUACUAUUAUAUAAUGAUAAUUUAUUUGUGAUAUAUGGUCUGCAUGCCCAAUAAAUUACUAUUAUAUAAUGAUAAUUUAUUUAUGAUAUACGGUCGGCAUGCCCAAUAAACUAUGAUGGUACCAAGAAAUCAUUAUCGGAGCUCACCGGAACAAAUUAUUUUGUAAUUUUUUAUAGGGAAAUUCUUUUAUAAUGCUAGCUCGUAGAGCAACAUCUAGCUGCUUCUAGUAAUGCACCACAACAUCUAGUAGUAGCAGCUCGUUAAAAAAAGCAGUAGGGACAGCACCGAUUUCCAGAAUUCAUCGUCUCACCGCCCAGUAGAUGCCCCUUCUCUUGUCCACACAUUGCUAUUCCUCCAAGCCCACAUCACUUAGUGCUACUUCGCCUCCAUCUUCGUUCUUCUGCUACCUCAACACCCAGCUCUGCUCCUACUCUUCCUCAGCUCCCUCCUACCAACGCCCGGUCGUGCUCCACUCCCAGCUAUGACGGCCACAUGAGCUCCACCCGCACCAACACGAGACGACGAAGCUGACGUCCCGUGCUCCGUAUACCUUCGUCUGCUCAUGAUUCGACCUCCUAUUACUCCACAACGACACCAACCCAUACUCCCUUCCCCUCCACAGCCAAGCAACCGCUGCAUCAGGCACGGGUACGCAUGCCGACUGCCUGAUCUGGUAUGGAUGCGCGCGGUAGCUCCUCCCACCCCUGAUCUUUCCUUGGCAAGCUCACAUCUCCACCUGGUCCGCAACAGGAGACGCCGCGCUGGGUGUUGUAGCUACGGAGGUCAUCGAUUGGUCGAAGGACGCCCAGUGGCAGUGGGAAGUGACCCGAGGCGAGGUGGAGUCAGCAAGGCGGCAGAGGUUGGGCCAAAAAUCUCUUUUCUAUGUUCUCCGCGUACACAAAACUGAUUAUCUCCUUCUCGUAUCCUGCAGUGGCGAGAUUCGGGAUCGAUGGAUCCGACUCCCGACGCUGCGAGCCCGUGUUGCCCAGAUCUUGACGACGGCGAGCCGAGGUUGCCUACGGGCGGCAGGCGGCGCUCCCGUGGCGAGGAUGGCGGGGCCUGGUCGGAUCCGGGCGGAUCUGGCCGGGAUGGAUCUAUUUCGGACGGAUUUGGCUUGGAGGCGGCCGGAUCUGGCGAGAUUGAGGGCCGAUGGCGCCAUGGUCCUCCUGGAGAUCCCUGCUCACCGAGAAAGAGAGACAGAGGUGAGAGGAGAUCAAGAUGAAGGAGGAGAUGGGCGAGGCGGCGGAGCGGCCGGAGCUCCGGCGGCGGGGCACGGUGGAGGUGUGGGGUCGCCGGCGAGGUGGCUUGCGGGUGCGAGGGGAGCUGGGCGAGGCGGCGGAGCGGCCGGAGCUCCGGCGGCGGGGCACGGUGGAGGUGUGGGGGCGCCGGCGAGGUGGCUUGCGGGUGCGAGGGGAGCUCGGGUAGGAGGAAGCUGCGGGAGGCGGAGCGGUCCAGUUCGGGCUGGAUUUCUAGGGUUAUUUAUGUAAAACUGAAAGUUUUCUUAGAAUCCACUAAAGAAAGGACUACGNN